GACGAAGGGGGCUAGCGUUGUUCGGAAUUACUGGGCGUAAAGCGCGUGUAGGCGGUUGUCCAAGUCGGGUGUGAAAGCCUUGAGCUCAACUCAAGAAAUGCACUCGGUACUGGGCGACUAGAGGACCGGAGAGGAUAGUGGAAUUCCCAGUGUAGUGGUGAAAUACGUAGAGAUUGGGAAGAACACCAGUGGCGAAGGCGGCUAUCUGGACGGUUUCUGACGCUAAGACGCGCAAGCGUGGGGAGCAAACAGG
rnacentral:rRNA from 1 species